GAUGAACGCUGGCGGCGUGCCUAAUACAUGCAAGUCGAGCGAACGGACGAGAAUCUUGCUUCUCUGAUGUUAGCGGCGGACGGGUGAGUAACACGUGGAUAACCUACCUAUAAGACUGGGAUAACUUCGGGAAACCGUAGCUAAUACCGGAUAAUAUUUUGAACCGCAUGGUUCAAAAGUGAAAGACGGUCUUGCUGUCACUUAUAGAUGGAUCCGCGCUGCAUUAGCUAGUUGGUAAGGUAACGGCUUACCAAGGCAACGAUGCAUAGCCGACCUGAGAGGGUGAUCGGCCACACUGGAACUGAGACACGGUCCAGACUCCUACGGGAGGCAGCAGUAGGGAAUCUUCCGCAAUGGGCGAAAGCCUGACGGAGCAACGCCGCGUGAGUGAUGAAGGUCUUCGGAUCGUAAAACUCUGUUAGUAGGGAAGAACAUAUGUGUAAGUAACUGUGCACAUCUUGACGGUACCUAAUCAGAAAGCCACGGCUAACUACGUG
rnacentral:rRNA from 1 species